rnacentral:rRNA from 1 species
UACAGAGGUGGCAAGCGUUGUUCGGAAUUACUGGGCGUAAAGGGCGCGUAGGCGGCCAUCUAAGUCAGACGUGAAAUCCCCCGGCUUAACCUGGGAACUGCGUCUGAUACUGGACGGCUUGAGUUUGGGAGAGGGAUGUAGAAUUCCAGGUGUAGAGGUGAAAUUCGUAGAUAUUCGCAAGAACACCAGUGGCGAAGGCGGCUCACUGGCCCGGUACUGACGCUGAGGUGCGAAAGCGUGGGGAGCAAACAGG